AGUUGUGUUGUCUAUAGGUCACAGGUCAUUGACCGUCCCAAACCUGCCAGGUCAUUCAUGCAAUCACGCAGACCCUCGCAUUAGUCUUGAGUCUGUCCCCCCCUCUCUCCACUCACACGUCAGGGGUAUAAAGUGCCAGGCUUCGCGGGCAAGGUGGGCUUCAUCUCCUCCAUGUCGUACCACUUCUGUGGCUCCUGCAACCGCUUGCGGCUCACCGCAGACGGCAACCUCAAGGUUUGCCUGUUUGGCAACUCUGAGGUGUCCCUCAGGGAUGAGCUGCGCUCGGGGGCGACGGAGACGCAGCUGCUGGACAUCAUCGGUGCGGCGGUGGGACGGAAGAAGAAACAGCAUGCAGGCAUGUUGAACCUCUCUAAGAUGAAGAAUAGGCCCAUGAUCCUGAUCGGUGGGUGACGUUGCUGUACGUACAAACACCCAUGGACACAUAGAGACAGCAGCCUAAGCACACCGGCGUAUGAUCUAGGCCACUGUUUCUCAACCUGUGGGUCGGCUACCCAGAGGUCUCUCUUUCUGCGCAAAGUCCCCCCGGCCGUGAAGAGAGCUUCCCUUCGCCCAUCG